GAUGAACGCUGGCGGUGUGCCUAAUACAUGCAAGUCGAGCGAACGGACGAUAAGCUUGCUUCUCUGCUGUUAGCGGCUGACGGGUGAGUAACACAUGCAUAACCUACCUAUAAUACUUGGAUAACUUCGGGAAACCGGAUCUAAUACUGGCUAAUAUUUUGAACAGCAUGUUUCAAAAGUGAAUGACGGUCUUGCUGUUUCUUUUAGAUGUAUUCGCGCUGCAUUAGCUAGUUGGUAAGGUAACGGCUUACCAAGGCAACGGUACGUAGCCGACCUGAGAGGGUGAUCGGCCACACUGGAACUGAGACACGGUCCAGACUCCUACGGGAGGCAGCAGUAGGGAAUCUUCAACAAUGGGCGGAAGCCUGACGGAGCAAUGCCGCGUGAGUGAAGAAGGUCUUCGGAUCGUAAAACUCUGUUAUUAGGGAAGAAAAUAUGUGUGAGUAUAUGUGCACAUCUUGACGGUACCUAAUCAGUAAGCCACGGCUAACUACGUG
rnacentral:rRNA from 1 species